GUCAGGGAAUUACGAGCAAAGCUUAAAACCCAAAGGACUUGACGGUACCCCACAUCCCCCUAGAGGAGCCUGUCCAAUAAUCGAUAAUCCCCGUUUAACCUUACCACACCUAGCCUUUCAGCCUGUAUACUUCCGUCGCAAGCCUACCACAUGAGUGAAGCUUAGUUAGCCCAAUGUCUACACAUAAAUGUGCUUUUAUCAACAAUACGUCAGGUCAAAGUGCAGCAAACGCUGUGGAAAUGAGAUUGGCUACACUUUUUAAUUUAAAAGAAACGGAAGACGAAAUGAAACUUUGUCAGAAGGUGGAUUUAGCAGUAAAAAGAAAAUAUUAAAUUCCUUUAAACUUGGUACUGGAGUGUGU
rnacentral:rRNA from 1 species